UGCAUAACGGUUGCUAUACAUGCAGUCGAGCGCGUGAAACCAGCUGAUUCCCUUCGGGGUUGACGCUGGUGGAUCGAGCGGCGGACGGGUGAGUAACACGUGGGCAACCUGCCCUGCAGAUCGGGAUAACCCCGGGAAACCGGGGCUAAUACCGAAUGACCGGAAGAAUCGCCUGAUUCUUUCGUAAAAGCUGGGAUUUAUCCUAGCACUGCAGGAUGGGCCCGCGGCGCAUUAGUUAGUUGGUGAGGUAAUGGCUCACCAAGGCGACGAUGCGUAGCCGACCUGAGAGGGUGAUCGGCCACACUGGGACUGAGACACGGCCCAGACUCCUACGGGAGGCAGCAGUAGGGAAUCAUCCGCAAUGGACGAAAGUCUGACGGUGCAACACCGCGUGAGUGACGAAGGCCUCAGGGUCGUAAAGCUCUGUUAUCAAGGAAGAAAACGUACUGUGCGAAUAGAGCAGUACCUUGCCGGUACUUGAUCAGAAAGCCCCGGCUAACUACGUGCCAGCAGCCGCGGUAACACGUAGGGGGCGAGCGUUGUCCGGAAUUAUUGGGCGUAAAGGGCACGCAGGCGGCCUUUUAAGUCUGAUGUGAAAGCCCGUGGCUCAACCACGGAAUGGCAUUGGAAACUGAAAGGCUUGAGUGCAGAAGAGGAGAGCGGAAUUCCACGUGUAGCGGUGAAAUGCGUAGAUAUGUGGAGGAACACCAGUGGCGAAGGCGGCUCUCUGGUCUGUAACUGACGCUGAGGUGCGAAAGCGUGGGGAGCGAACAGGAUUAGAUACCCUGGUAGUCCACGCCGUAAACGUUGAGUGCUAGGUGUUAGGGGUUUCGAUACCCUUAGUGCCGAAGUAAACACAUUAAGCACUCCGCCUGGGGAGUACGACCGCAAGGUUGAAACUCAAAGGAAUUGACGGGGGCCUGCACAAGCGGUGGAGCAUGUGGUUUAAUUCGAUGCAACGCGAAGAACCUUACCAGGUCUUGACAUCUUUUGCCCGCUCUGGAGACAGAGUUUUCCCUUCGGGGACAAAAUGACAGGUGGUGCAUGGUUGUCGUCAGCUCGUGUCGUGAGAUGUUGGGUUAAGUCCCGCAACGAGCGCAACCCUUGACCUUAGUUGCCAGCAUUCAGUUGGGCACUCUAGGGUGACUGCCGGUGACAAACCGGAGGAAGGUGGGGAUGACGUCAAAUCAUCAUGCCCCUUAUGACCUGGGCUACACACGUGCUACAAUGGAUGGUACAAAGGGUUGGCAGGCCGCGAGGCCCAGCCAAUCCCAAAAAGCCAUUCUCAGUUCGGAUUGUUCUCUGCAACUCGAGAACAUGAAGCCGGAAUCGCUAGUAAUCGCGGAUCAGAAUGCCGCGGUGAAUACGUUCCCAGGCCUUGUACACACCGCCCGUCACACCACGAGAGCUUGCAACGCCCGAAGUCGGUCUAGGUAACCUUUUAGGAGCCAAGGGCGGUGGGGGUUUGGUUUGUUUUGGGAGCCGAAUAAGGGGGGGGGGUGGUUUUUGGCCGGUCCGCUUGGGUUUAAAAAAAAAAAAGGAGUUA
rnacentral:rRNA from 1 species